rnacentral:lncRNA from 1 species
CGCGGAGCUCUUGGCUGCGGAAGGGGUCCCUGCCCCACCCGCGGCACCGGGCAGGUACGCGGGCGCUCCUGGACCACCGCAGCAGAGCAGGACACGAAGGAAACCCUACGGACUUCACAUCAAAGGAAAAGCAAGGCUAAGGCUCGGGGUAGAGGGGUGUCUUCGAUCCACACAAAGAGAAAGAUUUCCCUGUUUCCCCACACCCCGCCAAGUGUCCAGGUACAACGGACAAGGGUAUUGGCCACACGAUACAGAUCAAUUUAAAUCCCAGCACAAACCAGGAUAUGGUUUCAAUUCUGUGGAGAGCCCUGAGGGAGUCAGAUGGAAACGAGUUGCCCCUGCACAGCUGGCAAAGAUGCCUUCCCACAGGAGCUGCUCAGAGGAACUUGCAGGCAAGCAGCAACCUCGCUGUGAGAACACUCAUUUCUCCAGGGGUUUUCUCAGACUUCUGCCAGGAUUUUCCUCUUCCUCCAGUACACCAGAACACACCUGCAUCUCCCAUGUGUGUCCUGUUCUGCUCCUCUCAAGGUAUGUAAACCACUCACUGCCUUGUUACUGUUCUGUCCUCAGUUAAAAAUGCAAAGAGAAAUGCUGA